AAGUCGUAACAAGGUUGGACAGCAAAAAAUUAAUGAUCCUUCCAUGUAGAAAUUUUUACUAAUUUUUACACUGGUUCAUUUGCUGAAGCCUGAGCAGCCACUUAGUUCAUUCUAUUUGGUGCCGAGGUUUCGUCCUUACUACAUUUCUGUCCGACCGAAGUGUUGUAGUCUGGCACCCACCAAUACACCAAUACUCACCCCUUUUUUUGCUAGUUGACUUUUAUCUGUUGUUCUUUUAUCCUUCGGGUGAGGAGCACACGUUUAAUUAUUUGAACGUUAAAAAUACAACUCUUAGCAAUGGAUAUCUUGGUUCUC
rnacentral:misc_RNA from 1 species